AGGCCAUCCGAAAUCGCUCCCUCAAGUCACCACGCGCGCAGCUCCGAUCUGCGUUGUCUUUGCCAGAACAAAGCCCCCGACGUGUUGAUCCAUGUGAUCUAGUGAUGCCAUCUCCCUCAUCCCCAUCGAGUGACCCCGCAUCGGCGAUCUCGACGACCUCCAACUUGUCCAUCAGCCUCGUCGAUGAACUGCAACGAUCCUGCUCCCUGGAUCGCCCUAUAGCAGAUCCAACAAUUUAGUUGGUAUUUUAUUUUAUUGUUCCUUCAUCUUUCCCCACUUUAUGCUGUCUCUGGUCAAUGGAAUUUGGGGAGCUCGGUGUGUGCAAACUGCCUUGGUACAGACGUACACUGGAUGGGAAUUGCUCUGAUAAGUGUUAUCUCUGAUAAGUCAUGUUUUAGAUGUGGUUUCAGUCAUUUACAUUGGUAUUACUCUACCUUUGGUUUCAGAGUGUCCCAUGUUUUCCUAGUAUGCUCUGAUCUUCAGAAUUCAGAUUAUAUAUGCCUACUCCUAACUGAAAUUUGAGUGCGAUACUAUCUAAAUUAGUACUUCUAAACUAUGUGCCCAUAUUCUGUACAACUUGUAGUACAAGUCCAUUCUUUUGUUAAUGUCCGUUGUUGUGCAAUACAUGUACAUUCUCAUUUGCCUAUUUCAGGAUAAUGAGGCGUGUGAGCAUAGGAUCUAGCAAGGCAGCAGGAUCUGUUGAGGUAGAUCAAGAAAGAGAUCAAGGAAGCUCAAGGUACAGAACUGUCUUAUAUGUGGCGCAGCUAUCUAGCCAAGUUACUCCUAGAUGUUAUGAGGACAUGCAUGUUAUUGCUGCUAUGUGGGAUAACUAAGAAGAGAACAUCUGUGAGUGAUAUGAACAUUUUGGAAUCUCUAAUUAUCUGAAAUAUUAGUGUAUCAUGCUUGCGAUUUGAAUUCAUUGCAUAGGCUUCUAUGGACGGGGAGGAGAAAAUUUGGCCAGCCUUGAUUAAUUUUUUGCUUCACUUCAACAUUGCUGAAUCAGAUCCUGCAAUAGUUAUACUACGGAAAUAUCUUGGUAGGCCAAGAAACCCCAAAUUCAUGGAAGCUAGAAGAACUGCAGUGUUGAAAUGAGCAUCGGAUUAAGAAGCCGCGUGAAGGGAGUUUAAGGAGAGGAUGAAAACACCUGGCCACAGCUAGGACAGUGCCUCAACAGUCCAAUGCAAGAAACUGUCGGUAUGUUACUUGGUUAAGCCUCUUCGUGGUUCCAUGCACAUGACUGAAAGUUUUUCUUUCUAGAUUAAGGUUGUUGUCUCACUAUUCUAAGCACAGCCUUCAUGCUGUUUUAGUUCCUACUAAUUAAAGGCUUCAGAUAUUGAUAUCUCUGUUUUUAUUUGGGUAAAUACAUUUAAAGGAUUUACUAAGAUAAUCUUCAAUUUUACAAUUCAUGCAGACUCAUAAUGCUAUUGGGGAUCCAUCUAGACUAGUUAGUAUUGCUAUUUUCUCUUUCUGUUUUAAAUCAUCUCAUCAUAGUUGUUUAUCUCUCCGUCGUCUUAAUAAUUUAGUUGCAGUGUGACUUGGCUUAAAGAAGCAAAGAUAACAUAGCAGAAUCUAAAUUGAAUUUCUUAUCAGAUCAUCAGAUUAGCAGUGGUUUUCAGUUGGAAGUAGCACUAGUGAUUUGCGUUGACUUAAAAAAGACAAGAUCUGUCCACCUUGUUACAAUAUAUAGAGAAAAGCAUUUCUAACCUAAUUGCUAUUGGUUUCGACAUGUGAAAUCACUCGAGGAGGUGUCAUUCUCCUUUCUAUUGUGAUAUCAAAAUUGACUCGUUCUGUGUUCUGCAUCAAGAAUAAAAAAAUUGGUCUACUCACCUCCCGUGUACUAGAAGAACUGAACAUCAUGCGUUGGAGAUUUAGAUCUGACGAUAACUAUGUGGUGACGUGAAAUUGUGUGAUUUUUUGUGCCUAUGUACUUCAAAUUACCAAUUCAUUGCCGCUUUUCUCUAAUCUCUUGUAUUAGGCAUUUUCUCUCAGGCUUCUUGUUCUUGAAUCUGCAUAAUUUGAUCUAGAAAGAAGGGAUUGUAAUGAGGGGAUACGUGGGAAAGACUAUAGGUUUUUUACUAUCUCAAAUCGGUUCAAUAUUGUACUCAGUUAAAGAAAUUUAGUACCUUACGUGUGCAGCUUGCAGGUUUCCUAGCCGGCUAUAAUAAUGAUGUGUGCAGUUACAGGUUUCGUGGUAACUGGUAAGCAUGAUUUAAUUGGAAGUAUAAAGUUACAUAAGAAUUGCUAUCUCCUGCUUUAUGCGGCUUGUAAAGAUAUCUUAAGUUUAUGAUAGAAACUAAUUUUCUAAUUUAUAUCCUAACUGAUAUGCAGACUAUAUAUAAGGGUUAAAUGCCCUAUCAUAUAUGCAGCUUCAAUGUUCCCAUGUUCUUUCUUUUAAAGAGAGAAUGAAAAGAAUUAUUUAUUUAUCUUUCGGUUACUCACAUGAUUUCCUUGCUAUAGUAGAUGGCUAGAGCCAGCUGGAGGUGGGCAGCCCAUGAGCAAGUGAAGCAUUACCUUGUUGCUAUAUCCUAGCAUGCCCAAAAUAUCAGCAAGAACCGUCACAUUCAAAUGUUAUAUUAGAGGACACCAGACGAGAAGGAAUAUAUAUAGGAUUAGAUAGAGUAUCAUAUUAUGAUGCAAGAUUGUAAGAUGUGUACUCUUAAGAUAAUUUUCAUGUGUGGAUGGUGAUUUUAAUUAUAAAUAUAUAAAUGU